CCUACGGGGGGCAGCAGUGGGGAAUAUUGGACAAUGGGGGCAACCCUGAUCCAGCCAUGCCGCGUGUGUGAAGAAGGCCCUCGGGUUGUAAAGCACUUUCAGUGAGGAAGAACGCCUGGUGGUUAAUACCCAUCAGGAAAGACAUCACUCACAGAAGAAGCACCGGCUAACUCCGUGCCAGCAGCCGCGGUAAUACGGAGGGUGCGAGCGUUAAUCGGAAUUACUGGGCGUAAAGCGCGCGUAGGUGGCUUGAUAAGCCGGUUGUGAAAGCCCCGGGCUCAACCUGGGAACGGCAUCCGGAACUGUCAAGCUAGAGUGCAGGAGAGGAGGGUAGAAUUCCCGGUGUAGCGGUGAAAUGCGUAGAGAUCGGGAGGAAUACCAGUGGCGAAGGCGGCCUUCUGGACUGACACUGACGCUGAGGUGCGAAAGCGUGGGUAGCGAACAGGAUUAGAUACCCGAGUAGUC
rnacentral:rRNA from 1 species